AUGUCGCUGGUUCUCAGCCACAAUUUGAGUAGCAAGAGCCCUGGACAACUUUCAGGAAGACAGUUCUGGUCUGUAGCAAUUAACACAUGGUCAUCCUCAGAAAAAGGUCCUCUCAAUUAUUUCCCAGAGAUACCCAUAACUUAAAAUGCAGGAACCAAGAGAUUUGAGCCUAGACAUUUGGAUGAAAAGCGAUUUCCACCUGGAGAAAGUCACUGCCCUUCUGUGCAGAGUACCAUUGUGUCUUGAAUCCAGCUUGGCCAUAAGGAAAUGGGGCGAGACUUUGUCAUGUAUGUCGCUGAAGUUCAGCUAUGCAAAAAUGUUCACCUAUCCUUGAUCAACCAGUCCAGGAACCAUCAAAGAAGAAAAUGAGAUUCGACUUAGAAGACCUGUUCUUUAUAAACCCCUGCACAGCCCUAAUGAUCAACACCACUUCCAGUGCUCAUAAAUUACUGCUUCAAUAAUUGUUCUGCAAUUCUGCCUAUUCUCAUUGAAUGCUUCGUAUAAUCCCUUU
rnacentral:lncRNA from 1 species